GGCUGGCCCAAGUGCAGUGGUGUUGACAACUAAUUGAUCACAACCAGUUACAGAUUCCUUUGUUCCUUCUCCGCUCUCACUGCUUCACUUGACUAGAAUA
rnacentral:Y_RNA from 1 species